rnacentral:rRNA from 1 species
GACGAACGCUGGCGGCGUGCUUAACACAUGCAAGUCGAACGGAAAGGCCUGCUUUCCCUUGUGGAUUGCGGGUACUCGAGUGGCGAACGGGUGAGUAACACGUGAGUGAUCUGCCCCCAACUUGGGUAUAAGCCUGGGAAACUGGGUCUAAUUCCCGAUAGGACUGCAGGGUGGUGCCUGUGGUGGAAAACGAUUUUCUAGUGGUUGGGGAUGAGCUCGCGGCCUAUCAGCUUGUUGGUGGGGUAAUGGCCUACCAAGGCGGCGACGGGUAGCCGGCCUGGGAGGGUGGACGGCCGCAUUGGGACUGAGAUACGGCCCCGACUCCAACGGGAGGCAGCAGUGGGGACUAUUGCGCAAUGGGCGGAAGCCUGAUGCAGCGACGCCGCGUGGGGGAUGACGGCCUUCGGGUUGUAACCUCCUUUCGACCGCGAGGAAGCCACCUGGUUGGAAGGGUGGUGACGGUAGUGGUAGAAGAAGCACCGGCUAACUACGUG